ACGAACGCUGGCGGCGUGCCUAAUCCAUGCAAGUUGAGCGCUGAAGGUUGGUACUUGUACCAACUGGAUGAGCAGCGAACGGGUGAGUAACGCGUGGGGAAUCUGCCUUUGAGCGGGGGACAACAUUUGGAAACGAAUGCUAAUACCGCAUAAAAACUUUAAACACAAGUUUUAAGUUUGAAAGAUGCAAUUGCAUCACUCAAAGAUGAUCCCGCGUUGUAUUAGCUAGUUGGUGAGGUAAAGGCUCACCAAGGCGAUGAUACAUAGCCGACCUGAGAGGGUGAUCGGCCACAUUGGGACUGAGACACGGCCCAAACUCCUACGGGAGGCAGCAGUAGGGAAUCUUCGGCAAUGGACGAAAGUCUGACCGAGCAACGCCGCGUGAGUGAAGAAGGUUUUCGGAUCGUAAAACUCUGUUGGUAGAGAAGAACGUUGGUGAGAGUGGAAAGCUCAUCAAAUGACGGUAACUACCCAGAAAGGGACGGCUAACUACGUG
rnacentral:rRNA from 1 species